UGACCGUGAGCAAUUUGAGAAAACCCUGAGCCAGGAACUGCACAAGCCCGUCCUGGAGGGCAGUGGCCGCUUGGGGCUGCCCAGGUCGCAGGUGCCAGGUGCUCGGCGCGCGCUCCCACGUCCCAGAGCCGGCAAAGAAGGAUUAAGCCCCAGGUCCCGCACCGCGACGCGGGCUGCAGCGCUCAAACCUCGCGAGAUUUGCUAGUCAGGCCAAUUACCGGGGCCCGUCCGCCCUCUCCCACAUCUCGCGAUACCAAGGCGCAAAAGUGGCUUUCGACCCGUUAGGCUUGCGGGGAAGAUGGAGUACUCCGCGUUGGGUACUGUGGAGACCGCGGACGACCGCGGGGCCGGGCCUAGGCACAGCUCGGAGGAGCGGGAGGGCCGGGAGCCGGACGGGGUACGCUUCGACCGCGAGCGGGCGCGCAGCCUGUGGGAAGCCGUGUCUGGUGCCCAGCCGGUGGGGAGGGAGGAAGUCCUUUGCAGAGCUAGCUACUCAACACCAACCUAUGUGUACAAGAACUACAACUGGGCUUUCGUGCUAAUCCUGUCAGUGGAGCACAUGAUCGAGAAGAACCAGUGUCUCUUCACCAACACCCAGUGUAAGGUGUGCUGCGCCUUGCUCAUUUCUGAGUCCCAGAAGCUGGCACACUACCAGAGCAAAAAACAUGCCAACAAAGUGAAGAGAUACCUAGCAAUCCAUGGAAUGGAGACAUUAAAGGGGGAAACGAAGAAGCUAGACUCAGAUCAGAAGAGCAGCAGAAGCAAAGACAAGAACCAGUGCUGCCCCAUCUGUAACAUGACCUUUUCCUCCCCUGUCGUGGCCCAGUCGCAUUACCUGGGGAAGACCCACGCAAAGAACUUAAAGCUGAAGCAGCAAUCCACUAAGGUGGAAGCUCUGUCGAAACGCCUUACAAAUCCUUUCCUUGUGGCCUCCACCUUAGCCCUGCACCAGAAUAGAGAGAUGAUAGACCCAGACAAGUUCUGCAGCCUCUGCCACGCGACCUUCAAUGACCCUGUCAUGGCUCAACAGCAUUAUGUGGGCAAGAAACACAGGAAACAGGAGACCAAGCUCAAACUCAUGGCACGUUAUGGGCGCCUGGCGGACUCUGCUGUCACUGACUUUUCAGCUGGGAAGGGCUAUCCCUGCAAGACGUGUAAGAUAGUGCUGAACUCCAUAGAACAGUACCAGGCUCACGUCAGCGGCUUCAAACACAAGAACCAGUCACCAAAAACAACGGCAUCGUCCCUGGGCCAGAUUCCAGUGCAAAGGCAACCCCUUCAGAAAGAGUCAGCCUCCUUGGAAGACUAGAGAUGUCUCUACCCAGCACCCCUUGUUUGACCAGCCACGAACCAGCUUCCUGCGACUGGAACCUCAAAAUGCAGAAGAAACCUGACGGCUCUGGAAAUGGGUCAACCCUGCAGCGCAAUGACCCCAGUGGCCACUAGGUGGAGAACGCUCCUUUAGGCUGGCGUGGUAGACCAACCCCAGGACCCUACUGUUUGACUUAAUGCCGAAGAAAAUAAGGCGGCUUUUUGUGAGCUCCUGGACUUAAUGCUUCACUUAACUCUCGAGACAACUGGAAAUGGCUCGAUUCCACAAAUUUCACUGGAGAAUCACAGGGGCGCAGUCUUGCAGAGCCUACACAACACAGAAGUAACCUUGGAGAGGUUUGAGCCCAGGCUCCCAAUUCUUUCCUAGCACUUCUGUCUGUUUCCCAAGGCCGCCUUGCUCUUCUCUUGCUUGGGACAUUUUCCUCAGGGACACCUCUGUCUUCGAGGGCUGUAAUUUAGUCACCUUCCUGGGAGCACACCUGAUGUCUGGACUGCUCUGCACCCUUUUGCUUUUUUCCUUUCAGUAACAUCUGCUCCAUUUUAGACCCUGUAGUUCUGAGGGACUGACCCCUGCUUCCUGAUUCAGGGGUGAGCCUGUGACCCAGCCUGAACAAUCAGAAUCGUAAGACUGGAGCUGUUAGUGGCCAUCUGUGCCCACAGGUAAGGACAGUCUGCUUGAGAAUUAAGCCAAUACAGAAAAAAAAAAAAAAAAAACAGCCGAGAGAUGAGAAGAGACUGAUUUCUGAUGAGUACCUGGAUCCAGCCAUACCUGAAGCUAAUAUCCCCAGGACUUUUUAGUUAUGACUUUUAACCUUAAGUCAGUUUGAGUUGGGUUUCUAUCACUUACAACCAAGAGUUCUGCCUAAUACUUGCUCUAGUUCCCCUUAUCAACCCAGGGACCUCCGUAAUCCUGAGAUCAAUGACCUGCAGGGCUGUCCUUCUGUGUUCCCAGGUGCCCUGUGUUUCCCUCUAGCAUUGCCCCUGAUAUACUCUGUCAUGGUGACCUAUAGUAUAGUUCCUGUACAAUUUCCUGUCUUCUUUUUCAGACUAAAAGCUCUUUGAGGGCAGGAACUUGGUCUUAUGUCUUAAUCAUCGCACAGGGUCCCUGGUUCCUGGAAUAGGACCUUGAUUAUGUUUGUUUUGUUUUGAGGAAGGGUCUUAAAGAAAAGGGAAUGCCCUGAGAGGAGUCCAGAAAGCUGAAUGGCAGGCACCUGGUGGGGCAGCUGGGAGGGUGGGGUGGGCAGGACAGGGAGGACGUGGGGCAGCAAGAGCAGCAUGCGCAAGGGCACUUUGCAGGGGCCUCCCUGGAGCUCGGGGCAGCUAGAACACAGCAGGUGUCUCUGGGGAGAGUGGAGAUGAGACGGGGGACAGAGGCCAGUCCUCUAAGCCCCCGAAUGUCAGACCUAGGAGCUGGGGGUGCCAGUGGUGUUGGGGGGAAGAGUAUUUGUAGGAGCGACUUGCUUAGAUCCUUAUUUUAAAGAAGUCACUGGAGGGCUGAUGAGGAAAUGGGUGAUGUGGAGACUGUUAGGUGCUUCUCCAGUACUCAGUCACCCUUCUUUUCGACAGACCCUGGUCUGGGCAGGGAGGCAAUGUGUCCAGCACAAGGACUACUGUACUUCCCAGACUGCUCUGCAGCUAGGGGAAGCCGGGAGUCACAGUCUGGCCAAGCAGACAAAAAUCAGAAGUCGCUGGGUGCAAACUCAACUCUGUAACUUCUUUCUUCUGCCUGAGCACAGAUGUGAUGGCAGGAGCUGAGGCCACCAUCUUGCAACCAUGAGAGAAAAGUCUAGAGAUCGAAGAGCCCUAAAGCCUGACUUGAGAACCCACCUCGAGGAUUGGGGCUAAGUGAGAGAUGAAUAAACCCUGUUUUGCUUUGUGUUAAGCCUUUGUCAUUUAGGUUUUCUGUUGCCCACAAACAAAACACUCCGUGGUCCAGGUGGGCACCAGGCAAAGUACAGCAGGGCGCAGGCCCCUCUAGGUCUGUUUCCUGCUUCCCUGUAGACCGUCAACCCUCUAACCCUUCCUGCCCAGCCUUGCCACUUUCCGGCUG